CGGCAGGUAGCCCAGGGGUUAGAGUGUUUGGCCAGUAACCAAAAGGUUGGUGGAUCGAAUCCCCGUGCUGA
rnacentral:tRNA from 1 species